AGGCCGCCGAUUGGUCGAUCCAGUGUCGCGAAGCACUGCAGUUGGAAGAUGCGACGCAUAUUUGUGAUCGGCUUGAGAUUCCUCACUGAAUGGCGUAGAAUCCGGUGGAACCGAAUACUUUUCGUUUCUUCUCUUCCACUUUAUUUCUUGCGCUUUUCUUCUCUCACUCGAGAUACUUUUGAUGGCCAACCUGUUCUUUUUUCUUAAUAUUUUUUAAUUAAUUUUUUUCUUUUUAUUUUUUUCUAUAUGUCCAUCUCGACAACACGAUUGUCUCAUCUCCUUAGACAUGUUUGAUUCCUGUGAUUGGUCGAAUAUAACAGAGGUCCUCAAACUUCUUCAUCGGUUUGUUGGUCGUUUCGACGAGUGUAGAAUUUUAUCGAUCGGCUACCUCGUUUAGUUUCCUUCAUCCUCUUACUGGCGAUUCUCAAAUUUUGGAAUUCACAAAAUUUCAAUCUUAAAACUGAUGAAAGAUACAUGCAAUGUUAACAAUUGCGAUUAUAAGUAUAUUUGAGAAAACCCUAGCGAACCACACUUUGAGAACCGUCGCGUUUACGACCGUUUCGAAAAUGUUAAUAGGUCGUUGACGUAACCAGAAGCAGACCUUUCUCGUGCCUUGUUCCUCGAUGCCAGACUCCAACAUUUCAUUUUUAAUUCUGAAGUCCGUAUUCUCCUCUUACCUGAGAAUCGUAUAUCAUAAACCACGAUAGAAGCUCAAACCAGGUAAGAAAGCAAAAAGGUUUUUGCUUUUAAAUGAUGUCUUUCCUUGUGUUUCUCACUCUUCGUUUCUCUCUCAUUCACUACGAAUCCAUGGACAAGGUCAAGAGUUGCAGAUUUCCAUUCCUUGACAUCCUUUAUAAUCUUCUACGAGUCACCAUAGUUGGCCUGUCUCUUUAUCCUCUCUACCUCUUUUUCUUGCAACUAUAAUUCAUUCUCUUCAAAUUCAAAUUAAGAAUAACCUAACCAUCGGAGAUUACCGUGGUGAAGACAAUUUUACAAUUGAAUCUUCCUAAACGAUGAUUUCCUAUAUAUUCAUCGACUUUAUGCUAUAUGUAUGCAAGUAGUACAUUUAUAUAUCAAUCUAAAGAUAACGCAAUGGAACGCAGAUUGAUCGUUGGACAAAUUGCCUACGAGCAGGCACUUCAGUCGAUAACUGCCGAUAGCAGGAGAAUGGAAUUGGAUCGAACUCCGCGAAUACGAAGUAAUCCUGUUCUCGACAAGAAAGGCCGUGGUACAUCGAUUCUCCUCCAACGUCGUCCCCAGAAAUCCAAUGAGUACGCCAAAAUUCCCUAGGGGCAGUCGGGUCAACAGGAAGUCAAGGCCACACGGUCAGUUGCACCGUGGUUCGCCGUCGAUAUAAAUAGAUGCAGGCGACUGGUAUCUAUGUAUCUAUCUGCACGCAUACCAUACUAUCCACAGCGAAUAAACAUGGAUAAAGUUUCGUCCAAUGAUGCCAAGAAAACAUCGUCGUAUUUUUACAACAAAGUUUCUUGGGAAAUGCAAGUGAAUCGAACUUGUGCUUAUCGAUGCAUUUUACGAUAUUUGUAUUUAUCGACUCAUCUCUCUGUAAUGUUAUAUAUUAACCUUAAAAUUACAUAUAUCGGUUUAUUCAUUACAUAUGAAAAAUAUGAUUCAUACAGAAUUAUUUGGAAAUAGACUUAUUCCACAAAUUUAUAUAUAUAUAUAUAUA